AGAUUAUCAGAACCGCCGUGA
rnacentral:siRNA from 1 species